CCCGGAAGCAGGCACAGGAGCCCCGAGGUGCCCCCCUGUCUGCACUGGAGGAGCUCCCAGCCCAGGAAGAUCAGAGGGAGGACCACUGCUUCUGACCGAACCCUCUUCCUGGUCCCGUGUGGCUCCAAACACGGCUGCUUUGUGUCGCACAGCUGUGCAUGUCCUCAAGAGGCGACUCCAAUCACAGGUCUGCCUGGCUUGCUCUGAUAGCAUUUCAGCUUGCACGAGACCCGAGACCUGCGCUGCUGGACAGGGUGGCCAUCAGCCACGUGUGGCUGCCGAGUGCCUGGCACCCAGCUGGGAUGCAGGAUCCCGCUGCUGGACUUGCAGGGGCCCUGAUCCACUCGUGGGCGCCAGCGCGGGUCUCGUCCUAGAGGCAGGACGCGCGGGCCGCCCCGGGCCCUCCCUGGACAUGGCCGGAGCAGGUGACCAGGGGCCCAAUGUUUUCGGGGAGCCGCAGUCUCCCAGGUAUUUGCACGCUCCUCCUGGCCCGGCGCGCUCCGAUGAGAAAAUGGAGGGGCCCCGUGGGACAGCGUGGCUUUCUGAGGUGUGUCCACUGGUCAGCAGGAUGGACUGAGGACCGGACCCGAGGCUUCUUCUCUUAUAGCCCAGGGACCUCUCCCCAGGACAAUGUUUAUUUGUGGCUUGAUUUUUAAACACCAAGCAAAUGCCCCUGCAUUUAAUUAUGCUCAUAAUGAAGUCUCAACUUGUGAAAUAAACACGGUCCACGCUCGAUGGCCACGCACAGCCAAAGGGAAGUGGCGGGGCCGGGGGCACAGCUGUAAAUGGUGUGUUUGUCCCUCUGUUUCCCAGGGCGGUGGCUUGCACAGUGCUCCUUUGUACUCUGUGAGAGGCUGUGUGUUUCGGGAGCAGCCCCGACACACUGACAGGAGUAAUUACAAUUAUGGUGAACGUUCCCUUUGAUGAAUGGAACAAAGGUGAUUGAAAUUCAGCUUCAAGCUCUUUAUCAGAGCAGCAGGUAUGAAGCUGCUCUGGGCCAGAGGUCACAGUCAAACAAACAUCCCACCUUCUGAACAAGUGAAUUUGACACCCUGUGGCCUUCAGCCCCAAGUAGGCACCAAGACAGCUUAAUUACAGCCAACUAGUGUGAACAGGGUAACACCUUUGAUUCCAGGAGAGAGAGACAGAGCUGCCAGGGGUCACCACCAACUUUUGGUUUCUCUUCCAGGAAGUAAUAGAAAACGUUUAGAGUGAGUGUGGUCUGAGCAAACAGCACCUUUGCCCAGUUCCCCAGGUGUCGUAGGCAUUAGUCAUCUAGAUGGUAUCAAGAUGUAGAAAGCUCUGACCGGGUCUGGAGUGAGUCACCUGUCCCCAUCAAAGGCCGCAGAGACACAGAAACACUGUAGAAGAAUCAACGUGGUUCAUUCACUUCACUCAAUGAGCCUGGAGCGGGGUGAGCAAGGAAAGCCUUCAGCACAGGGAAGGCAGUGUUAGGGCAGCUGGCCCUCUGCGCCCGGCUGUGGGGCCCACACACGGGAGGGCAUCUCGAAGCCCUGCCCUGGACUU